AUGGCCAUCCUCGCCGCCGCCCGCCGGGCCUCCUCCCUUCUCCUCCUCCGCGCCUCCUGUGCACUGCUUCGCCCCGCUGCGUCUCCUUUGACGCCAAGGUCGCCUUGCUCAUCCUCCUUCUUCGACAGCGCCAAGAUCGCCUUGCUCAAAGCCGCGUUGGACUCCAUCGACGCCGAGACCGGCUCCUCCGCCUCCGCCGCCGCACUGUACUCCCUGCGCGCCGCGGCUGACUCCCUCGGCGCUUCCACCUUUGACGACCAUCUCGUCGCGACAUCGACUCCACGAUCAAGUCAUCCACCCGUCCCACCAAGAAGAACUUAUGAGGGUGAGCAGAUUGAAAUUCGGGCUUACACGUACAACUUACUCUACCAUGAUAACGGUAGUAUCCACCUAAAUGUCAGCGUCUCCAAGAGCAAUGGCUCGGACCUUCUAUUUUCCUGCUCUGCGUAUGCCGAUUAUAUCACCAUCGAUUCCAUGAAGAUGACGGGGCAGCUUGAAUCGCAUAAUGGUUUCGAGAAACUAGCUGCAAUACGGUCCUACUUCUUCAAGAAGCAAAAGUACAUGGUCAUAUUCUGGAACGAAGUAGCAAGAAGAAAGAUAUACCCGCCCGCCGGGCCUCCUCCCUUCCCAUCCUCCGCCGAGCCUCCUCCGCGCUGCUCCGUCCAGCGGCCUUGCCGGUGCCGGCGACCAGGUGGAGGUCGUCCUCCUCCAUGCAUCGACGCCGCCAAGACCGCCCUAAUGAAAGCUGCGAUGGACACCGUCCGCGCCGAGCAUGGCUCCAGUAGUGCCUCCGCCGCCGCACUCGACUCCCUCCGCGCCGCCGCCGACUCCCUCAGCACCGCCACCUUUAACGUCCAGCUCCUCUACGGCAUCGACUCCGCGAUCAAGUCCUCAGAGCACCACCGUCUCACCAAGUUCCGUACAUGUUUGGGAUCGAUUGCUUUCGAUUAUUACUAG
rnacentral:rRNA from 1 species